ensembl:misc_RNA Metazoa_SRP Metazoan signal recognition particle RNA
GUUGGGUGCAGUGGCGCGCGCCUGUAAUCCAAGCUGCUGGGAGACUGAGGCUGGCGGAUCGCUUGAGUUCAGGGGUUCUGGGCUGCAGUGGACUAUGUUGAUCAGGUGUCCACACUAAGUUCGGUAUCGAUAUGGUGCUCCUGGGGGAGCUCGGGACCACCAGGUCGUCUAAGGAGGGGUGAACCGGCCCAGGUCAGAGAUGGAGCAGGUCAAAGCCCCCGUGUCGAUCAGUAGUGGGAUCGCACCUGUGAAUAGACACUGCAGUGCAGCCUGAGCGAUACAGUGAGACCCAGACUUUU